UCAAAGAAAGGAUUUGAAUACCUUUUCACACAAUGCGUACAUAUUGAUUCCAUGGAUGGAGAAUAUAGGGGUAGUUAAUGUGAUUCUACACUCUGCAUGGGAUUAGCAUAGGUAAAAGAUGUCAUCUAAGGUAGAAAAAAUCAAAACUGUCAGAUCUUUCUGAGAUCAAUAGCAGCUUAUUAAAUAUUGAGGAUAACAGGAAAAUAUUGAGAGAAAAAUGAGCCUCCUAUCACAAACGUUACAAUUCCUAGAAUUGGCAUUCCCAGUCCAACAAGAAUAUAUACCUAUUGAGAUGGCCAAAAAAUAAAUCAUUAGAGAAUACAUAUAUGGGGUCAAAGAGCAUGUGCGGUAGAAAAUAAAAGAAAAUCUCUAAAGUUUCGACGGUAAAGACUGAUAUCUAUGGUUGAAAUAAAAAAUGAGACAAUAACAAUAAAGAAAUAGUACUCUGAAUUCCCAUUUCUUUGACUUCUACAUGGAAGUUCACAUAAUAUACUAUAUGAAAAGCGUCGAUGAACUUCUUCAUUAUAUUCACAAGUCUUAAAUAGGCCCCUAGGCACCUCAUCUUGCACUACUUAAGCACCUUUCAUCAUGGUAGUAUCCUUUCAAGUUAAUGCAUGGCAUCAUGAUAGCUAAAAAUUAACUUAAUUUUUGUAUCUGACUAGCAAGAUGCCCGUCAUUGCACGGAACACCAAGAUGCAUUUUUUUUACAAAACACCUAUUGUGAUUGACCCAUGCGGGAGUAAUCCCAUGUAUAAAAACUAAUGAUAUCUCGAGAAAGAGGAGAGAUAAGGUGAGGAGGAGUGGGACGUGGUGGUGACUGGUGGUCGGACUGAGCGGAGGCAUGGGGAUGGACGGCGCCGGCAGCGGCCACCAUGCUAGAUUGUUCCAGAGACUUCCUUUUUUAGUUGCUCAACAAUGAGGUUGUGGGAGAUAAGGAUGAACGAGGGAAGGCCUUAUCUGCAAAUGCGGAGAGAGGUGCAUGUAUCUUUUCGCAAAAUUGCCAUAGUUUGCUUUCUAUCCAUCAGCUAUAGAUCGGACGGUCUAUAUUGCAAGAUGGCAGGCACACCAUCAUCACCAACUCGGUUUUUUAUAAGAGUAGAGAUAUGUAUCUUAUCAGGUUAUGUGAUAUUUGAGAAAGUAAUAAGGAGCAAACUUAGAAUAUGUAGAUAUCUACAGAGGUGAAAGGAAAUGAAUCAUUAGAGGAUAUUUAUGAGGUCAAAGAGCAGUGCGUUGCAGAAAAUGAAAGGAAAUUGCUAAAAAAUUGACAAGAAACUGGUAUCUAGGGUUGAACUGAAAAUGGAGACGAUGUUAAAUAUUAAUAAAGGAAUACUACCCUGUAGUCCAGUUUCUUGAUUUCUACAUGGCAGUUCACAUAAUAUUCUAAAAGAAAAGCAUUGGUGAACUUCAUUAUAUUCACAACAGUAUUAAAUAGGCCCAUGAGCACCAUCUCCUUCCACCACUUAAGCACCUGUUACCAACUAUCCUUUCAAGUUAAUGUAUAGCAUCAUGAUAGCAAAAGGUUAACUUAAUUUGUUUAUCUGAUACAAAGUUCAUAGUGUCAUUCAUAUUUGAGCAAGGAAGCACCUUGAAAUAUGUUGUGAUGUGUGCAUUUUAGAAUAAGUUCCCCUCGUGAUUUUUCGAUCGUUAUUGCCCAUGAACUUGCCAUCCUCAAAUACAAUCUUAUUCUUCACUAAAACUAUUCUUUAAUUGACUAGCGUGUUGCUCUGCUAUAAUUUGGGGAUGUGGAACAACUCCCAUAGGUCUGAAGUCUAAUUGCAACAAUGUAAUGAAUAUGUUUUAUCAGAAGCAAAGGGCAGUGCAGUAUGGUAUCCACUUGCAAUUUGUAGAUCAGAUAACAGUUCACAUAAUAUUAUUAUGCCUGAGUACCUCAGUAAUUCUGUCUACAAAAAGUGCCUCGUUAAUCAGGUAGCGAUUGCCUCAGUCGGCUUUUAUUAAAAAAUACUCACAAUAUUUGUGUCUUCACCCGAUGAUUGGAACUUAACAUCCUCUUCAAAAUUAAAGCUUUCAGCACAAUCACUGGUCUUGAAAGUUGAUCUCCUUUACUUCUAAAACAGACAACGAAUAUUUAUAAGGUGAAAAGUAAUAAAAAAUAAUAAUUCAUCAUAAACGUGAGCACUACUUUGUAAUCAGUGGCGUACCCACCAUUGGGGCAAGUAGGCUCGGACGGCCCAGGUAUGAAGUGGCGAAGCAGGACGGCCCAGGUCUGAAGUGGCGGAGCAGAGUAAUCCCCUGUCCGUCGCCCCAGCAAACCACAGUUUCUAGGUCGGACACUGUCCGUAAUGAUAUUAUAAUAUCAUCCUCUUUAACAUCAUAUUUGCACUCUCUAUUGUGCAGGAAGAAACGAUGAAAAGAAAAGGUGGGCCACAUAGCAAGGAAUGUGAGAAAC
rnacentral:lncRNA from 1 species